rnacentral:rRNA from 1 species
AUUGAACGCUGGCGGCAGGCCUAACACAUGCAAGUCGAACGAGUGGCGGACGGGUGAGUAAUGUCUGGGCACCUGCCUGAUGGAGGGGGAUAACUACUGGAAACGGUAGCUAAUACCGCAUACCAUCGGAUGUGCCCAGAUGGGAGUAGCUAGUAGGGGGGGUAAAGGCUCACCAAGGCGACGAUCCCUAGCGGGACUGAGAGGAUGACCAGCCACACUGGACCUGCGACACGGUCCAGGCUCCUACGUGAGGCAGCAGUGGGGAAUAUUGCGCAAUGGGCGCAAGCCUGAUGCAGCCAUGCCGCGUGUAUGAAGAAGGCCUUCGGGUUGUAAAGUACUUUCAGCGGGGAGGCGUUACCCGCAGAAGAAGCACCGGCUAACUCCGUGCCAGCCGCCGCGGUAAUAC